rnacentral:lncRNA from 1 species
GGACUCUUGCCUUCUCAUUUUUUAUCUACUGCUAUUUCAAGAGUCCUCACAAGUGGUAUUGGAGCCUUCUGUUAGAAGGGGGGGAUAGAGACAAUGAACUCACUCGGGGAGUGGGGAUGGGUCGCAAGUGCAAGGAAAUAAAGGGAAACAUGGUUGAGUUUGAUUUUAGGUCCUUUUAGCUUUACAGAAUUCUUUUGGUGGGGAAUUCUUUCCCAACUCCUUGUACCUUGAUGGGUAAUAGAUUUCAUCCCUAGAACCACGAAAACCAUGGAUUUUGGGAAGAAGUUGCUUCUCAUUGGUCAAGGAGCUAUGGCCACGCUUCCUCCUCUAAGUGGAAAGCCAAUCAGUAAAAGCUUUGAUGGGCCUUUGCUGUGGAUAUAAUUCCAACCUCCCUAGCUCGGAUCUUUGGAUGUCAAGGAAGAACAUGGUGAGUCAAUGUCUCUGCUUGUGGAUCUUGUGGUGGGAAAAUUGGUGGGCAAGCUUGAUUCUUUCUUUGAGAAGAUAAAACAAAUUGCUUCCAAGCAAGAGGAGUUGGAGGCAAUAAUGAAAAUGGUGUCUCGUGGAUCAUCUCCCUCAAGGUCUAGAGUAGAAGAGGAGUGCUUUCCAUUUGCCGAUGACAGUCCUUGGAAUUCCUCCCUCAGAG